rnacentral:rRNA from 1 species
CAAGGAUUCCURUAGUAGCGGCGAGCGAAGAAGGAACAGCCCCGAGUGUAAUCACCUAAUUAAUAUAGAGUGAGAUGUCAUWAAUCUAUAGAACGAUGUUGAAACUUCGGCCUGAGAGGGUGAUAGCCCCGUAAAAUAGAUGUAACAMGGGAGUAGCAGUGUUUGGUAUUGCACUGUGAAAGGGUGGCAGCGCCCAUCCAAGGCUAAAUACAAAGCGAGACCGAUAGUGAAUAAGUAGAGCGAUCGAAAAACGAAUAGACUG